GAGCCUGAUUAUAGAUGUUUCAAACCCUAGGCACUCUUAGUAAGAGGCAGAGAGCCGUACGCGGUAAAGGAAAUUUCCACGCCCACUUCUCUCUCUUCUUCUCACACUCAUACACUAUGUCCUCGUCGGAGCAGCAACCGGAGGAGCCAAAGCUACUGGAGGACCCAACUACGGCGACAACUCAAAGCUCAUGUGAGAGCGAUCCUGGUUUUUGUACCAACACGGCCAAAGGAGGCUAGUACAUGACCAGCAUGAUUGGGUGAUAGCAGCAGCCCAAAGACUUUGCUGAAUGAAAACAUUAAAUGAGGAACACAUAGGAGCACAUGAAUGAGAAAGAAAAGUAGAGUCCAUGUGAAAGCAAAACCUAGCUUCUCAAGCUUUGUGGGCUGAACAUCUUUAUAAAUAGAGGCAUUCUGCUUGGGCCUUGAUGUACCAUGAGAAGAGAUCACAAGAGAGAGCAGCAACACAAGGGGGAGCUAUAGUGUGAGAAUUACUGUGGGGCAUUAUUUGGGUUGUGUUUGUGAGAGAUGUUCCAUACCUUGUGAGUGUGAUGUAAAAUUGUGAGGUUAAUUUUUUUUUUUUUUAAGGUUUCAGCUUUACUUAGAAGUUCCUUAUACCUCUCUUGUUUGUGAGUGUCUCAAAUUUUGGGCGAAAUUUGGGACUGUUAUUUCUUGUAAGCCCUUUUAUUAUAGUGGAGUUUUUGCUCUGUGCGUCCUGUGGUUUUUACCUUCUCGUAGGAGGGUUUUCCACAUAAAAUUUCGCUCUCCUUAUUUACUGCUUAUUUACCCAUUAUUUUUUUUUACUUGAUGUUACCUAAUUUACCUAGUGGGUAUUGUAGGGCCUAACAAGUGGCAUCAGAGCAAGGGUGGUGUUUUACUAUUCACGGUAACUUCAGAAAUGACGACAAUAAAAUAUGGUGUGGAGAAAUUCACCGCGAUGAUAAUUUAUCUACAUGGCAAAGGCGGAUGAAGGACGUGCUAACCCAGCAAGGUGUAAAAAAGGUACUAGACAGUAAAGUAAAGAAACUAAAAUCCAUGUCAGACAAUGACUGGGCAACUAUAGAUGAAAAAGUUGCGAGUGCAAUCCGACUGCACCAAUCAAAUGAAGUCUUCAAUAAUUUAAAUGAUGUGGAAAGUGCCAGCGAAAUGUGGACCAGAUUGGAGGGACUAUACAUGUCAAAAACCAUGACGAAUAAAUUGUACUUGAAGAAGCAGUUGUAUCCACUCCAGAUGAACGAAGGCACGGGUGUGGCAAUCUCAUGGCAGACUGAAUAAGUGCUUUUCCAGAUGAGAUUCUUAUGUGCAUUUUAUCAUUUUUUGGCUUAUGAGAGACACUGUAGCUACUGGUAUCCUUUCGCAAAGGUGGAGCUGUGGAAGAAUUUGUAGAAAUCGAUUACCAGCUUGAAAUUUGAUCUAAUCAACAAGUUUGGAUUUUACAAGCGUGAAGUUGUAACUACAAAACAGAAAGAGAAGCACGCAAGAAUGCAUGAAUAUGUGAAAUGGGUGGAUGGAUUCCUACUACAGUUUCAAGAUUCAAAUAAUGUGGAGGAAUUCAGGAUUUGUGCUGAUUUUGGUAUGGAGGGUUCUUGUUACAUUGAUCAAUGGAUUUCUUUUGCUGUAGAAAGAAAAGUUAGUAAAUUCCAUCUAAAUUUUUCUGAUGAUGAUGGCUAUUGUUCCACUUGGAAGCAUUGUAUUUUCCCUCUCUCAUUGUUUUACGGAAGAAAGUGCUUCAUCCGUAACACAUCUGUAUUUAAAAGGAAUUGAGGUUCAUCCUCCUGCUUUUGACAGGUUCACAUUUCUCACA